GACGAACGCUGGCGGCGUGCCUAAUACAUGCAAGUAGAACGCUGAAGAGAGGAGCUUGCUCUUCUUGAAUGAGUUGCGAACGGGUGAGUAACGCGUAGGUAACCUGCCUUGUAGCGGGGGAUAACUAUUGGAAACGAUAGCUAAUACCGCAUAACAAUGGGUGACACAUGUCAUUUAUUUGAAAGGGGCAAUUGCUCCACUACAAGAUGGACCUGCGUUGUAUUAGCUAGUAGGUGAGGUAACGGCUCACCUAGGCGACGAUACAUAGCCGACCUGAGAGGGUGAUCGGCCACACUGGGACUGAGACACGGCCCAGACUCCUACGGGAGGCAGCAGUAGGGAAUCUUCGGCAAUGGGGGCAACCCUGACCGAGCAACGCCGCGUGAGUGAAGAAGGUUUUCGGAUCGUAAAGCUCGGUUGUAAGUCAAGAACGAGUGUGAGAGUGGAAAGUUCACACUGUGACGGUAGCUUACCAGAAAGGGACGGCUAACUACGUGCCAGCAGCCGCGGUAAUACGUAGGUCCCGAGCGUUGUCCGGAUUUAUUGGGCGUAAAGCGAGCGCAGGCGGUUUGAUAAGUCUGAAGUUAAAGGCUGUGGCUCAACCAUAGUUCGCUUUGGAAACUGUCAAACUUGAGUGCAGAAGGGGAGAGUGGAAUUCCAUGUGUAGCGGUGAAAUGCGUAGAUAUAUGGAGGAACACCGGUGGCGAAAGCGGCUCUCUGGUCUGUAACUGACGCUGAGGCUCGAAAGCGUGGGGAGCGAACAGG
rnacentral:rRNA from 1 species